GGUUCAGGACGAACGCUGGCGGCGUGCCUAAUACAUGCAAGUCGAACGGUCUUUCUAUGGAAGCUUGCUUCCACUGAGAAGAUAGUGGCGAACGGGUGAGUAACACGUGGGUAACCUGCCCAUAAGAGGGGGAUAACAUCCGGAAACGGGUGCUAAUACCGCAUAGUUUUCUUGAUCGCAUGAUCGGGAAAGGAAAGACGGCCUUUGUGCUGUCGCUUAUGGAUGGACCCGCGGCGUAUUAGUUAGUUGGUGAGGUAACGGCUCACCAAGACGAUGAUACGUAGCCGACCUGAGAGGGUGAUCGGCCACAUUGGGACUGAGACACGGCCCAAACUCCUACGGGAGGCAGCAGUAGGGAAUCUUCCGCAAUGGACGAAAGUCUGACGGAGCAACGCCGCGUGAGUGAAGAAAAGGUUUUCGGAUCGUAAAACUCUGUUGUCAGAGAAGAACAAGUUGGAGAGUAACUGCUCCAGCCUUGACGGUAUCUGACCAGAAAGCCACGGCUAACUACGUGCCAGCAGCCGC
rnacentral:rRNA from 1 species